CACUGUGCAACAACAAGAAAAAUGGCAUGAGGUCUGGGAAAGAGAGCGACGCGGCACCUGAAAACCCUCAAGCAAGGCCCACGCUGCGGGUUCGGGGCAAUUCAGACCCAGAUCUACAAAAGCAGAUGGUGAAACCGAGACGUGGGCCGGGAGAGGCAAAUUUAAGCGCGCGCGGUUCUGCGUACUCCCUUGCUAGGAACGGCGUUGCCCUGGAAAGGUCUGCUGGCACAGGACCGGGAACGGAUAUGCAGAGAGUCACAGGGUAACUUUAGGACUCGCUGCUCUGUUAAGGAUCAGGCACGAUCGGUUCUGCGUUGCAACGCGUGCUCAGAGCCAGAACCGCCUGGGUGGUGGCUGUCGGCAGGAAAACGCCUGAGCGCUAUGUUCACAAAAGCCUUCAGAAAACACUAAAUGUAUUGUUUCCAUUAUUUGGGACCUCCCUUUCUGCGCACACAACCAUCCGAGACGGUCCUUUUGGUGCCAGCUAGAUGAGGCUAGACGCCUCACACAAGGGCAACGCAGCUGGCCAUCUCCCCUCGUCCCACAAGUACGUGCGCUCCUGGAUUUUCCAUCUUUAAAGAGAGGUAAGCACACAGCUGACCUCCCUUCCUUCGGCCCCAAGGCAGAAAUCAAUCUGUGCCAUUCAGGUUGUCACCAAACCCAAAUACACGCAGCCUAGAGGCUCGGCUCGCGCUGUUCCUCCAUACGUUACCCGGUUUUCUACCUAAACGGCCUGCAAUUUGCAACUGCUGAGUUCCCUGAGCGCGCAGAUGGACUUCUCCUCAUCGCUCCUUGCCCAGCAGCAAACUGCCGCAAGGGCAAAAGGAUGAGCAGACCUCCGCCUGCGCGCCUAAAAUACUGGAUUCCGACAAAUAAGGCGUCUUACACGAAGAAGGUCUGCUCCCGGGCGGUGGUACGUAUCACACUAAGCUAGAAUCGAGGCACGUAAAUGCACGGGCUAACAAACUUUCUGACCCUUUGCCAGAACAAGCAGGACCUUGCGCACAGAAGCUUGCUCCGCAGGCAAAAGAAAGCGCAGCUAGCAGCUUCGACCUCCUUGGCUCGGAGGAGGCAGGAAUAGGUGCGAGUGAGUCCCUCGGGAUUCGGGGCAAGCGCUCCCUGCGCGGACCUGCUGCCGGGAGAGCUCAGAGCAAGAGCCGCGCAGAGUUUCCCCCUCACCUCUUCCAGCAAGCACUUACUUUUCGGAGGAUCUUCCCGCAGGGUGGCCAGCCCAGCCCCUGGGCCAGGCCGUUGAGGAACCAGAGCCCCGCGAAGGCCGUGACGGCGGAGCUCCAGGAGAACACCACGUUGACCAGGCCCACCAUCAGCAGCCCGGAGGAGAAGAGCCAGCGGGCGCUCGCCCGGUCGGAGAGGACGCCGCUGACGAACUUGCUGACGGCGUAGGCCGCGGCCUGGCUGCUCGUGAUGAGCCCUGCGGCGGGGCAGAGCCCGAGGGGCGCCUCAGCCGGGCGGCACGGCGGCCGGCCCGCCCGCCCCAGCCAGCGCCGGGCGGGCAGGGCGGCGGCGGCGGGGCCCGGGGGCGGCCGGGGGAGCGGCACUCACCCAGAUCGUCCUUCCCCAGCGGCACCUCGGCCAUGACAGCGGGCAUGACGAACGAGAAGGUUUUGCGGUUGAAGUAGUAGAGCGUGUAUCCAACGAACAUGGCCGUGAAGAUCACGGCCCGGUACCGCCCGUACCCGCCGGCCGCCAUCCCGACGCGCUCCUCCGCGGCCGGGCGGGGACGGGAGAGGCGGCCCGGCCCCGCGGGCGGCGACCCCAGGGACGACGGGAGCGGAGGGACCGGCGGGCGCCCCGGGACGCGGCCGCGGCCCCGCGCCUCACCGCCCCGCCCGGAAGGCCCGCCCCGCCGCGCCUAUUGGCCGCCAGGAGCCGCGCCCCGCCCCGAUGCGCCCCGCCCCGCGGUCCCCGCCGCCCCCGCCGCCCGGCGGCUGCGUUCCGCCUCCCCGCUCACCCCGGCGCAAACCUGAAAGAGCCCCUCGGGAAGUGUCGCUUUUAUUUUUGGUUGAAGAGGCCAAAAAAAUAAAUGGAGCACGACAUCAGAUGCACAUUCACAGGCGGCCGCGGGAGCCGAGGGGAGACGCCGCUGGCGCAGGGCGGGGGGGGGGCUCCCGCGGCGCCGGAGGGCGGCGGCCCCGGCGGGAGCGCCGGGGGCCGGCGGGUGGCUCCGGGUAACCCUGCCAGCGUCGCUGCUGCCUCCCGCCGCGGCCCCUCGGCCCUCGGCUGUUGCUCCGAGCGCAAGGCGCGCCAACGCCUUGCUUGGGGCGCUCUGGGCACGGAGCGCCGCCGUCUCCCAGCUUAUUUUAUAGUACACGAUGGGCAGAAGCGUUUUGUCAAGUCUCCAUUCGCGGUUUCCAGAGAGGGAUGGGCUUAACAGCCGCCUACAGAAAACAGACACUCUUAUCCUGAAACCUGCAGCAUCCGCCGCCCCUGUUCUGCUCCACCAUCGCCUGAAUCCGAGCAGGAAUACACCUCCCGUUCCCUGAAAUCACGCAACUCCUUUAAGCCAGAGCCUCGUAUGCCGAGACACCACCAUCUCAACUUAUACCCUUCUGCAUUAAUCCCGUCUAUCUGCACCAGAGGAGGCGUGGCACAGAGUUCAUGGCCCAAGUCACUUCCCAAAGCUCAAGAUGUUUCUUUACUGCUUUCUCUCAACAGAAGAGUCACUUUGGUGACCUCUGUACUGAAACUGAGACAACUGACGGUGGGCACGCUGCCACCUUUAAAGACAUAAGAAAACCAAAAAAACAAUUCACUAAGUUAGUAGCGGCAAAAUCCCCAGAACGAAAAAAAUAAAAUUUACAUCUCUAUCCCAUGGUGUUGUCAGGCUGGUUGUUGGGUUCCAUUUGCAUCAUGACUAACCAGGUCCAUUAUAAAAACAAGAAAGUAACCAUGAAAUAAAUAGAC